rnacentral:rRNA from 1 species
GACGAACGCUGGCGGCGUGCCUAACACAUGCAAGUCGAACGGAAAGGCCCUGCUUUUGUGGGGUGCUCGAGUGGCGAACGGGUGAGUAACACGUGAGUAACCUGCCCUUGACUUUGGGAUAACUUCAGGAAACUGGGGCUAAUACCGGAUAGGAGCUCCUGCUGCAUGGUGGGGGUUGGAAAGUUUCGGCGGUUGGGGAUGGACUCGCGGCUUAUCAGCUUGUUGGUGGGGUAGUGGCUUACCAAGGCUUUGACGGGUAGCCGGCCUGAGAGGGUGACCGGCCACAUUGGGACUGAGAUACGGCCCAGACUCCUACGGGAGGCAGCAGUGGGGAAUAUUGCACAAUGGGCGGAAGCCUGAUGCAGCAACGCCGCAUGCGGGAUGACGGCCUUCGGGUUGUAAACCGCUUUCGCCUGUGACGAAGCGUGAGUGACGGUAAUGGGUAAAGAAGCACCGGCUAACUACGUG